GGCCUUGCUCUUAUGUCAUCUGACUAAAGGUUUCAUAGACCAAAAAUAACCAUCCAACCUGUUGGAAUACUGAAACAAUUGCUGCCUGCUUUCCACACACUACAUAAAAUAUGUGGAUAUCCUAAAUUCUACAAAAAAAGAUUUGUAAGCAAAUCAAGCAAUACUGGGACUCCCUCUUCUCCAGAAGAGACAUCCUGGCCUCCAUGCAGAGGAAUGUGUGGAUAGACAUAUAUUUAAGGAAGACACUAAACCAGAAAAUACUACAUUACACCCUCUUAAAAGACUUCCAAGAUUGUUGUCAUGCCUACCACUGACAUUCAGAUGAUGUGUAUUCUUGAUUGUGAUUUCAUGUUUGGAGCUGAUGAAGGAGUUUGAAGUCUCCAGAGCAGCAAGGAGAGUGGGGAGUAGAACUCAUCAUCUUUAGGUCACUCAUCACCG
rnacentral:lncRNA from 1 species